rnacentral:lncRNA from 1 species
UCCCCAGCCUGCCUCUUCCCUUGAUCCACACCCUGGGUGCCUCCACUUCCCACGCUUCCUGCUGAGGGAGGAGUUGAGGCAGUUGAGGCCAGAGACAGCAGACCUCUGACCUCUUCCAUCAAGGGAAGGAGCACCAGUGGGUGCUCAGCAGAGUGUGCACUGAGGGCCAAUGGAAAGAUCCAGUCACCCAUCAACAUCCUUCAAGAAUGUCACCAACUGAGGGACUCUGGAUCCUGAAUAGUUGAUCACUGACAAUGUUGACUAUUAUCUGAGCCCUGGGUUCUCCUGGAAAACAGCACAAGCAGAGAAAUCCCUUUUGUGUCCUAGAAAGCAGCUUAUAACAAAAAACAAACAAACAAACCUUCCCCAAACAAUCGGGAUAACAAUCAAGGCUGUAUCUCUGCUUACCUAUGACAAGGCUAGAUAGACACUGGGCCACAAAUUCUCAUUCUUGGCCUCAUCAAUGAUUAGUUGAACUGUUUCCUCCUCAGUGAUCAAUUGUACAAAAUGCUUAUUAACCAAACCAUGAUGAAGCUUUCUUCCUUCCUCCAGGCCUCCAAACUUUGGCCCAACUCAGCCUGAGCCAGCACACGGCCCCUCCUGAGAACUGAAUUCAUAAAAUUUUCACGUGCCACAAAAUAUUGUUCUUCUCUUAGUUUUUUUCCCAACCAUUUAAAAGAAUGUAAAACUCUUUUUUAGCUUAGGACUGAACAAAAGCAGGCAGCAGGCUAGACUUGACCCGUGAACUAUCACUUGCCAACCCCUGCUCUAGAUAUUCUAGUGGAAAAGUUUAUUGUGGGGAGGAAGAAGGUCUCCCUGCUGAAGUUUUAGGAUCUGUGUGAUCAGGAAAGCAAAGUAAGUUUACCAUUUCUGAGGUUUGCUUGGGGGCAAGAUAUUCAAUUUCUUUUGAAAUUUCAAAUAACAUUUUUAAAGGGCUUGAGAUUUUUCUUUGCUUUCAAAAAGAGCAUGGGUUCCCUAUAGGUUAAGAAAUGCUCCUCACCAUAGUCACCUCACACCCAUUAGGAAGGGCGAUAUCAAAAAAAAAAAAAAAAAAAGAGUUCCCGUUACGGUGCAGUGAA